rnacentral:pre_miRNA from 1 species
CGGAGCCUGUCGUUUAGGCAGCGUCCUGUUUGUCCAAUGUAGGAGCGGCCGCAGGUUGGACAAACAGGACGCUGCCUAAACGACAGGCUCCGU